GUGCAGGCUGAGGUGCUGAACAUUUAGGAGUGAAGAUGGGAGCUGCUCCAAGAAGAGGCAGAGAACAGAGCUCGCCUGUAGGACGCUGAGUCAAGUGAUCGUGCACUUGUGUCAGACGUCACUGCUCAAAAUAGCUGCAUGAGAGGCUGCGGUGAGCCAAGGUCGUGCCACUGCACUCCAGCCUGGGCGACAGGGCAAGACUCCAUCUCAAACAAUAAAAAAAAUAAUAAACCAAAAUAGCUGUAUGACUCCUCCUCCUUUUUACUUGGGGGAGAGAGAGUUUGAGGUGGAGAGAGGAGAGAUGGGCAGGAAGAACGGGUUCUCACCACGUUUUCCCACUGGUGAGAGAACAGAAACGUUUGGAGUCUAUUAAUCUGCUGCUCACUUUCGAAAAUGCCAUCAGCCUCUUUCCGAGAUUGCUGGUGAGACAGCAGCCACUGCUCCCUGGCCUGAGAACAGGGGCAGCACCAAAACUGGUCUCAAUGUGCUGUGGAGGAGGGUGCUCCCCAGAGAGCAGCCCUGCGACAGAUGGAUGGAAGGACCCCCGAAUGGCUGAAUUGAGAAGAAUGAGCAUAUUAGGAGGCCAUAGCAUUGGGGAACCUCUCAGGCAGACAGACCAAGCCGUGGAAACUGCAGACUUAUUUGUAUGUUUUAGUAAACACCUUUGCUUCAUUUUCCCUGUCUCCGCCUGGACUGAGGGUCGCCUCACCUCUCCUGGUGUCCAGAGCCUCCUUCAGCACAGAUGUUUCAAACCUGAGUUCUCACAAACAACGGGGUCCAGCCCUUCUCAACACGGGAAAGCCCUUGAGCCAUCUUUGAUUUGUGUGUUUUGAUCUAAUUGCACUACUGCUUGUUAUGCUUGUUUUUAGCAGUGAGUGCUGGUUUAAUUUGUUCCUUUCUGGUCUCCCAGCCCCACUCCAGAAUUUUGGCUCCAGGAGAGGAGGGGCCCUGAACUGGCAUUUUCAGUGACGCAUCCCAGUGCCCUGAAUCCAGUAAGCAGCCAGGUGUCUGUUGGCUUCAUAGUUUAAUGACCUACAAUUUGAAGAAUCGCAGAGAUGAAUUAAAAAGUUAGAGCCCCUGAGAGGCUCCCCGAUCCAGUUGCACUUCCUGCUUAAGAAAAGUAAAGAAAAACAGGAAUGAAAACAUAACCCAAUGGGUUAGUUCCAUGCUGGCCAUUGACCAGGUUGCAGCCACCACCGGAAGAAGGCCAAACGGUUAGAAAGACGUGAUGGUGAGGAAGAUGAGCCUCAUUAUCGACUGUCACCCACAGCCCUGCACAGUGUGAGGCAAACCACAAGUCAUCAGCGUCACAGCAAAACAAAAACAGACACACAACAGAAGAAACCACGCUGGUGAGGUCAGCAGGGUGGAAGAUAGCGGAGACUAGGCAGGGAGGCUCAGCUGCACCUGACACACAACAGAGGUUCUCCAGGAACAGCAGAUGAAUGAGUACAAAAUCAAAGAGGUGGUUUCCCUCUUCCUCCAGCAGACAAACCCAGAAUUGCAAAGAUCCCUCGAUGAACUAAUGUAACCAUAUCAGGCAAACUGCAUCCCCUUGUCUGUCUUUCGUUCUCCCCCAGGCACACUUGCCAGCUUCCUCUUUCUGCGUCCUCCUGGGCAUAUCCAGCCUUCAUCAUGAAGCCGUGUCUAUUUUCCACUUGCACACUUUCCUGGAAGACUCUUGGACAGCGUAUCAAGAUCUCUCAUUUUCUGGCUUGAACUCACUGCAGACUCAUCUUGUGGCAAGGCUCACCACCCACCAUGCCGGGCCUUGUCAGUGCCCUGGGGCAGCGUGGAUGGGCUGCCCACGCUCUCAACUAACAGACGGCAGCAAAGGCCAUCACCUCCUUCUGAAGGAAUCAGAAGUUGGAACCAGGCCAGUGUAGGGUGGGACCAGAACUGAUGCCUGGACACAUGACCAUAGACUGUCCUUGCUGUUGGAGAGCUGGGGACCGCGCCAUAGGAGGCUGUGUGUGGUUAUCGCCUGUGAGCCCCCAAGACCUUCAUUUCCUCAUCUGCCUUUACUUUGUGUCUCCUCUGAACGUGAUCCUGUGUUCUGGGUUUUUUGUUUUUUUUUUUUUGAAAUGGCAGCAUUUCAAAUAUGCUGUUUUUUACCAUCAAUCAUUUCUUGCCAGCUGGGUGCAGUGAGUGACACCUGUCAUCCCAGCCCUUUGGGAGGGCGAGGCUGGUGGAUCACAAGG